rnacentral:misc_RNA from 1 species
AUGCGAUACGUAAUGUGAAUUGCAGAAUUCAGUGAAUCAUCGAAUCUUUGAACGCAUAUUGCGCUCUUUGGUAUUCCGAAGAGCAUGCUUGUUUGAGUAUCAGUAAACACCUCAAAGCUUUUGAUUUUUUUUGAAAGCUUUGGACUUGAGCAAUCCCAACACCAGUCUUUUUUAGAUUGGAGGCGGGUUGCUUGAAAUGCAGGUGCAGCUGGACAUUCUCCUGAGCUAAAAGCAUAUUCAUUUAGUCCCGUCAAACGGAUUAUUACUUUUGCUGCAGCUAACAUAAAGGGAGUUUGACCGUAUUGGCUGACUGAUGCAGGAUUUCACAGGGGUCGGCAACGACGCUUGUUAAACUCGAUCUCAAAUCAAGUAAGACUACCCGCUGAACUUAA